ACCAAAAUCCUUUAGUGGCACCAAAUCUUGUGUUAAAGGGGGUCAAAUAAGGUAUCUAAGACAAGGUUAUGAUUUGCUGGUUAUGAUUAUGCUAUCUGUAUGCACGUGUCAUUUUUGUAUUUGAAGUUAUAAAUAUUGACUAUGUACUUGUAUCUCAAUGUGUUUGAUUCUAAGUAGCACCAGUGAAGCAUUUGGCCAGCUUAUUGAGAAGGGACUCUUCAGAUUAAGUGCCCAAUCAAGAAACACUUAGCUGACAAUGGACCUUGGGAGACUCCAAUCA